AUUCUUUCACUUGGAUUUAGUAGGACAAGGCUGGCACAGAUACCUGUGCACAGAGAAGGCUUAGAAGAGCCCAGAGGCAUUUCCCUGAUGCCCACUUUGAAGCACCUACACCUCAGAGGUCAGGGGUAAUAGUCACACUUUCUUCUUCAUGCCUUGGUUAUCCAAGUCUCCAUGCAGAGCUUUAGAUGUCAUGAAUGCUGAAUUUGUCUGCGAUCAACAUACCACAACACCAAUCAGUCCUGUGGCACAAAUGGAAGUAAAUUAUUACCUUGCUCACCGUACAGAAAGUAAGGAACUGAACUUCAUGACUGGUUACGAUUUCUGCAAGACUGAACACACGCUUUGCUGUACGGCCAGAUGAAAACAGUUGCACAGCCGAGCCUCCCUCCGCUCCAACAGUUGUUGUUUCAAAUACAAUCAUUUUCUCAAAACAUCUCCCAGACCAGAGCUGGAAACCUGAACAACUUAGAGUGCAAGGAGGGUCUCUCUGUGGUAUUAUGUACAUAACUGCCUUUUCACUUGGCUGGUAACUUGAUGCUUUAGGCUUCUAAGUCCAACCUCAGUGGCUGAAAGUACAGUAAUCUCCAUUGCACUUGACACAGCAUGGCAGAAGGGCCUCCAGUUCUGCUGCAGUCUUCAGAAAGGCUUCUGUUGUUGUGAGGGCUUCUGAAGCUCCCUUGGAGAACCCCAUGGUCACUUUUGGUCACGUCACGUACAUAAAAAAAAUGAAUUCAAUAAUUCCAAAUAUUUUAUGUACUUCUGUAGCCAAAUGAUACAUACUAACUAUAAAGAUAUAGAAAAUGUGAUAAUAAACUAGAAAAAGACGUUUUACAGGGAGAGUAUCAGAAAUGAAAACUAUUUCCACACUUCCAGCUUUACUGUUGUCACUAUAUCUUCGUAUCUUAAUCGUUUACUUACUUUUGCUACUUCACUAUCACUUCAUUACCAUCCUUUCCAUCUCAUCUCCCCCCAAAAUUUCAAAGACACCUCAGGAGAAUUUGGAUUCAGAUCCAAUACAGCUGAUUCCCUUCUCCCCUUGCGCUCAUUAGAACUAGAAUGAUGAAUAUCAGUGCCCCAGGCUGUGGUGGUAUUUGGAUUGCAGUGGAUUUCAAACCUGAAUAUCCGGUUGAAGAUUUUUAGGACUAUCUGGGGGCAUCUGUCUCAGUUCCAGCUUUCAGAUUUUAGCUCAACACAAACCUCAUGUAUUCUUAGCACCAAGUUAUUUCAGUAACAUCCUUGGAAAAAGGAAGGGCAUUUUAACGGGCUUUUAAAUUUCUUCCUUGG
ensembl:lncRNA